rnacentral:rRNA from 1 species
AGCAGCCGCGGUAAUUCCAGCUCCAAUAGCGUAUAUUAAAGUUGUUGCAGUUAAAAAGCUCGUAGUUGAAUUUCGGGAUCAGUACGCUGGUCAUGCCUUUGGUAUGCACUGGUGUCACUGGUUUCUCCCUUCUGAAGAUCCGUGAUGUCAUUAAUUUGGUGUCGCGGGGAAUCAGGACUGUUACUUUGAAAAAUUAGAGUGUUUAAAGCAGGCUCACGCUUGAAUACAUUAGCAUGGAAUAAUGAAAUAGGACGUUUGAUUCUAUUUUGUUGGUUUCUAGGAUCGACGUAAUGAUUAAUAGGGAUAGUUGGGGCAUUAGUAUUCAAUUGUCAGAGGUGAAAUUCUUGGAUUUAUUGAAGACUAACUACUGCGAAAGCAUUUGCCAAGGAUGUUUUC